AGCCACCAACCGGCCACUGUCUGGGCGAGUCCACUGCGCCUGCGCAGUCUAAGGAGCCCGCGCAGGCCUGGCGCGCGUCGCCCCGUGUCGGACUCCACUUCCCAGCGGCCUCUGCGCGGCCCUGGCCGCCGGCGCGGGCGCGCGGUGCCUUUGUGAGCGCGGCCGGCGCCUGAGGAGCCGGACCUCGGGCCUGCGGCAGGGGAGGCGCCCUGCUUUCUCAGGAUACUGUUCUUCUCCCGUAAAGAAACGUGAAAGAGGAGGACAGAACCAUCAUAAAUUCUCAAAGUCUUAAAGCCAUGUCCAAGGUAAGAAAUGUUUCUUCUUUCUUCCCUGAAAUGCCAUUUUUUUCAGGUUACAUGAACAUUUUGCUUUUCUUCUUAAACUUCCUAUCCUGACAACAUCUCAUCCAGUGACUUUGCUCCUCAAAGGUUUCCAUUCCAGAAAAAAAAAGGAAGUCCUAAAAAGACCACAAACUUCCUUUUUCUACCGAGCUAGUUUUUUCAUCUAUUCGAGAAUUAGUUCAGUACCUCCUAUGGGAUCAGUGCUCGGUUAAGAACUCUCAAGAGGCAAAAACAGACGCCUGGAAGGGAUAUGAAAGCCUUCCUUGUGGGAAUGUGACUCAUGGAUGUUGAGGUGUUCUCGUGUGAAUGCUAGCAUUGAGCUCUCCAUUACCUGCAUUUGAAACAUGGGCAAGACAGGAGGGCCACUGGGUAGACUUAAUCAUAGAUUACAGCACAGUCUCUUUUUCAAGGUGAUUUUGUGGAAUGAGAUCUAUCUGGAUGAGUAUUAAAGUGUAGGUCAGCUAAGCAGUGAUUCUUCUAGGUACUCUGUGAACUUUGAAGGAUAAGAGUUGAGAGAGUAGUGAGGUUCAUUUUAGGGACAUCCUGAGUUAAUAGCAGGCCGCAAUGAUGAUAUUCUAGGUCAUCCAAUUAAGAUUAGUGAAUUAAUGUGAAAAAGGGACAUUUUCUGAAAAAGUAAUGAGGGAAACAGAUGAAUCUACAUUUUUUAAAAGCUAUAAAAAAAAAAAGAAAUUAAGUGUAGAAUACCACCUAGAAGAAACAAAUGAAAAAAUGAAUAUAUAAUGUCUAGAAAUAAAUGCAGGUGUAAACAUUCUACAGGAAUGGAAAACAUUGAUUGAACAUAUAGUUAUUAAAAACAACUACAUGCAGAGUCCUGUGGCAAAUAAAAAUAGACAUUGCCUUU
rnacentral:lncRNA from 1 species